CCUGCUGUGUUACAUGUGUGGCAGCAGGUGGCAGCGAGGAGAGAGGCCAUGUCUGUGCUCAGUGUUCUGACCUGUGGACAUCCCAUCAGUUGCCUAACAUU
rnacentral:snoRNA from 1 species